UGCUUGUACUCUGGACUGCUGUGCUUACUCCUGCCUCCCUGAUUUGAACCACAGGAGUAGCUCAUGGGAUGGGAGUGGGAUAUCAAGAUAAAGACUUUUAGGUGAAGAUGAAAGUACAGGCUAUCCGGUGGGUUCAAAUACCAGACUCCAGAGCCGCCUGGAGUGGGCUGAAGAAGCAGCCAAACCCCAAUCAGUGUGGAUAAGGAAGCAGACCUGCUUCAACUCUGGUCCGCGUCGCUGUGUCCCAUUUGGACCUCAUCACCUUGGUUCAGGCUGGGAAGCUCCCUUCUUCAAAGCCAUUUUGCUAAGCCCAGAGUGACCUACCCUAAGAUCACUAGAUGGCUUCUAAAUUCUGCAAAAGCCAAAUGAUGUCAAACAAAGUGUGGGAGAACUCUGUGUGGCACUACUGAAGAGAAACCUGCAUUCUAACUAUAUGGGGAAGGAAGGGGGAGCAAGGGUCGUAAUGGAUAAUGAUCACCCCAGAGGAUAACACAAGGAAUAUGACUGGCUUUAAUAAUUCAGGUUUCCAUUUGGUUCAAGACCUGUCAAGUACCAAAGGAUUAAUCCUCAUAUAUAAUAUACUAACUUUGUA